rnacentral:piRNA from 1 species
UAGUGGGCCUUCUAAGAAACAGAAGUG